rnacentral:rRNA from 1 species
CCUACGGGUGGCAGCAGUGAGGAAUAUUGGUCAAUGGACGCAAGUCUGAACCAGCCAAGUAGCGUGCAGGAUGACUGCCCUAUGGGUUGUAAACUGCUUUUAUAAGGGAGUAAACCGCGACACGUGUGCCUUUUUGCAUGUACUUUAUGAAUAAGGAUCGGCUAACUCCGUGCCAGCAGCCGCGGUAAUACGGAGGAUCCGCGCGUUAUCCGGGUUUAUUUGGUUUAAAGGGGGCGUAGGCGGGUUGUUAAGUUAGAUGUGAAAGUUAGCGGCUCAACCGGGGAAUUGCCUUUGAUACUGGAGGUCUUGAGUGCAGAUGAGGUAGGCGGAAUGCAUGGUGUAGCGGUGAAAUGCUUAGAUAUCACGCAGAACACCGAUUGCGAAGGCAGCUUACCAAGCUGUAACUGACGUUGAGGCACGAAAGUGUGGGUAUCAAACAGGAUUAGAUACCCGUGUAGUC